rnacentral:rRNA from 1 species
AGGAAUCUGCCUAUUAGUGGGGGACAACAUCUCGAAAGGGAUGCUAAUACCGCAUACGUCCUACGGGAGAAAGCAGGGGAUCACUUGUGACCUUGCGCUAAUAGAUGAGCCUAAGUCGGAUUAGCUAGUUGGUGGGGUAAAGGCCUACCAAGGCGACGAUCUGUAGCGGGUCUGAGAGGAUGAUCCGCCACACUGGGACUGAGACACGGCCCAGACUCCUACGGGAGGCAGCAGUGGGGAAUAUUGGACAAUGGGGGGAACCCUGAUCCAGCCAUGCCGCGUGUGUGAAGAAGGCCUUAUGGUUGUAAAGCACUUUAAGCGAGGAGGAGGCUCUUUUGGUUAAUACCCAGAAUGAGUGGACGUUACUCGCAGAAUAAGCACCGGCUAACUCUGUGCCAGCAGCCGCGGUAAUACAGAGGGUGCAAGCGUUAGUCGGAUUUACUGGGCGUAAAGCGCGCGUAGGCGGCCAAUUAAGUCAAAUGUGAAAUCCCCGAGCUUAACUUGGGAAUUGCAUUCGAUACUGGUUGGCUAGAGUGUGGGAGAGGAUGGUAGAAUUCCAGGU